AACCUUUGACAAUGGAUCUCUUGGCUCUCGUUACGAUGAAGAUCGCAGCGAAAUGCGAUAUGUGAUGCGAAUUGCAGAUUUCCGCGAGUCAUUGAAUCAUUGAACGCAUAUUGCGCCUCCUGGUAUUCCAAGAGGCAUGCCCGUUUGAGUAUCAUUAUUCCAUUCGCAAUAAAGUGUGUUUUCUUGACGCACUUUGCGGAAUUGAGUUUUCCUGCGUAGCAUUUUUCGCAGGUGACUUGAAAUCGAUGGAAAAUCGGUCCUGUUUUGGUCAACGGCAUGUUGGGUGCGGCGCGACAUAUUUUUUCAAUGCCAGGCCUAACGGACUUGUGUUUUUCGGAGGGGUUUGCUUAUACUUUUGGAUCUUGAUCUCAAAUCGGGCAAGACUACCCGCUGAACUUAAGCAUAUCAAUAAGCGGAGGAAAAGGAACUAACAAGGAUUCCCUUAGUAACGGCGAGUGAACCGGGAACGGCUCAAAUUUGAAAUCGGGGAGGUUUCCUCCUUGAAUUGUAGUUUCGAGAAGCAUCUCUGGUGGUUGCUUGGGUCAAAGUCCCUUGGAACACGGCGUCAGAGAGGGUGAGAACCCCGUCCACGGCCCUCUGCAGCUGCCUUGAGAGAUGCGCUCAAAGAGUCGGGUUGUUUGGGAUUGCAGCCCAAAACGGGUGGUAAAUUCCAUCCAAGGCUAAAUACGAGCGAGAGACCGAUAGCGAACAAGUACCGUGAGGGAAAGAUGAAAAGAACUUUGAAAAGAGAGUCAAACAGUACGUGAAAUUGUCAAAGGGGAA
rnacentral:misc_RNA from 1 species